UAGUUGCAAGGUAUAGACCCGAAACCCGGUGAUCUAGCCAUGGGCAGGUUGAAGGUUGGGUAACACUAACUGGAGGACCGAACCGACUAAUGUUGAAAAAUUAGCGGAUGACUUGUGGCUGGGGGUGAAAGGCCAAUCAAACCGGGAGAUAGCUGGUUCUCCCCGAAAGCUAUUUAGGUAGCGCCUCGUGAACUCAUCUUCGGGGGUAGAGCACUGUUUCGGCUAGGGGGCCAUCCCGGCUUACCAAACCGAUGCAAACUCCGAAUACCGAAGAAUGUUAUCACGGGAGACACACGGCGGGUGCUAACGUCCGUCGUGAAGAGGGAAACAACCCAGACCGCCAGCUAAGGUCCCAAAGUCAUGGUUAAGUGGGAAACGAUGUGGGAAGGCACAGACAGCCAGGAUGUUGGCUUAGAAGCAGCCAUCAUUUAAAGAAAGCGUAAUAGCUCACUGGUCGAGUCGGCCUGCGCGGAAGAUGUAACGGGGCUAAACCAUGCACCGAAGCUGCGGCAGCGACGCUUAGGCGUUGUUGGGUAGGGGAGCGUUCUGUAAGCCGUUGAAGGUGGCCUGUGAGGGUUGCUGGAGGUAUCAGAAGUGCGAAUGCUGACAUAAGUAACGAUAAAGCGGGUGAAAAGCCCGCUCGCCGGAAGACCAAGGGUUCCUGUCCAACGUUAAUCGGGGCAGGGUGAGUCGACCCCUAAGGCGAGGCUGAAAAGCGUAGUCGAUGGGAAACAGGUUAAUAUUCCUGUACUUGGUGUUACUGCGAAGGGGGGACGGAGAAGGCUAGGCU
rnacentral:rRNA from 1 species